UACGUAGGGGGGCGAGCGUUGUCCGGAUUCAUUGGGCGUAAAGCGCGCGUAGGCGGCUCGACAAGUCGGCCGUGAAAUCUCCAGGCUCAACUUGGAGGGGUCGGGCGAGACUGUCGGGCUCGAGGUGGGCAGAGGGCAGUGGAAUUCCGGGUGUAGUGGUGGAAUGCGUAGAGAUCCGGAGGAACACCAGUGGCGAAGGCGGCUGCCUGGGCCUGGCCUGACGCUGAGGCGCGAAAGCGUGGGGAGCGAUCCGG
rnacentral:rRNA from 1 species